rnacentral:rRNA from 1 species
GAUGAACGCUGGCGGCGUGCCUAAUACAUGCAAGUCGAGCGAACGGACGAGAAGCUUGCUUCUCUGAUGUUAGCGGCGGACGGGUGAGUAACACGUGGAUAACCUACCUAUAAGACUGGGAUAACUUCGGGAAACCGGAGCUAAUACCGGAUAAUAUUUUGAACCGCAUGGUUCAAAAGUGAAAGACGAUCUUGCUGUCACUUAUAGAUGGAUCCGCGCUGCAUUAGCUAGUUGGUAAGGUAACGGCUUACCAAGGCAACGAUGCAUAGCCGACCUGAGAGGGUGAUCGGCCACACUGGAACUGAGACACGGUCCAGACUCCUACGGGAGGCAGCAGUAGGGAAUCUUCCGCAAUGGGCGAAAGCCUGACGGAGCAACGCCGCGUGAGUGAUGAAGGUCUUCGGAUCGUAAAACUCUGUUAUUAGGGAAGAACAUAUGUGUAAGUAACUGUGCACAUCUUGACGGUACCUAAUCAGAAAGCCACGGCUAACUACGUGCCAGCAGCCGCGGUAAUACGUAGGUGGCAAGCGUUAUCCGGAAUUAUUGGGCGUAAAGCGCGCGUAGGCGGUUUUUUAAGUCUGAUGUGAAAGCCCACGGCUCAACCGUGGAGGGUCAUUGGAAACUGGAAAACUUGAGUGCAGAAGAGGAAAGUGGAAUUCCAUGUGUAGCGGUGAAAUGCGCAGAGAUAUGGAGGAACACCAGUGGCGAAGGCGACUUUCUGGUCUGUAACUGACGCUGAUGUGCGAAAAGCGUGGGGAUCAAACAGGAUUAGAUACCCUGGUAGUCCACGCCGUAAACGAUGAGUGCUAAGUGUUAGGGGGUUUCCCCCCCUUAGUGCUGCAGCUAACGCAUUAAGCACUCCGCCUGGGGAGUACGACCGCAAGGUUGAAACUCAAAGGAAUUGACGGGGACCCCCACAAGCGGUGGAGCAUGUGGUUUAAUUCGAAGCAACGCGAAGAACCUUACCAAAUCUUGACAUCCUUUGACAACUCUAGAGAUAGAGCCUUCCCCUUCGGGGGACAAAGUGACAGGUGGUGCAUGGUUGUCGUCAGCUCGUGUCGUGAGAUGUUGGGUUAAGUCCCGCAACGAGCGCAACCCUUAAGCUUAGUUGCCAUCAUUAAGUUGGGCACCCUAAGUUGACUGCCGGUGACAAACCGGAGGAAGGUGGGGAUGACGUCAAAUCAUCAUGCCCCUUAUGAUUUGGGCUACACACGUGCUACAAUGGACAAUACAAAGGGCAGCGAAACCGCGAGGUCAAGCAAAUCCCAUAAAGUUGUUCUCAGUUCGGAUUGUAGUCUGCAACUCGACUACAUGAAGCUGGAAUCGCUAGUAAUCGUAGAUCAGCAUGCUACGGUGAAUACGUUCCCGGGUCU